rnacentral:rRNA from 1 species
AGCGGCGGACGGGUGAGUAAUGCCUAGGAAAUUGCCCUGAUGUGGGGGAUAACCAUUGGAAACGAUGGCUAAUACCGCAUGAUGCCUACGGGCCAAAGAGGGGGACCUUCGGGCCUCUCGCGUCAGGAUAUGCCUAGGUGGGAUUAGCUAGUUGGUGAGGUAAGGGCUCACCAAGGCGACGAUCCCUAGCUGGUCUGAGAGGAUGAUCAGCCACACUGGAACUGAGACACGGUCCAGACUCCUACGGGAGGCAGCAGUGGGGAAUAUUGCACAAUGGGCGCAAGCCUGAUGCAGCCAUGCCGCGUGUGUGAAGAAGGCCUUCGGGUUGUAAAG